UGGCGCUCUGGGGCCUGGCCUCCUACUUUUAUGGCGAGUUCCUGGAGAGCAAGAAGAAAAAGCCAGUGGAGGAACCCAGGCUUCUGGAUUCUGUGAAUAAUUAGGACCUGCUUUGUCUUUUCCCUGUUGAAUUCUAUGCUUAACCGGAUACGGAGGUCAAGGUGUGAGGUGUGUCCCAAAGGGGAAGACAGUGGUAUAAAAUAUUUGAAUUAAUGUCCAGUGAUAUCGCAUUGUAAUCAAAAUUUGAUUAGAUACGUGAUGGUUUCUUUUGUUGAUGAUUACUUUGGAAGUAUGUGAAAGCUGCUAAUAUACUUCUCUCUCAC
rnacentral:lncRNA from 1 species